rnacentral:rRNA from 1 species
AGAAUCAACGCUGGCGGUGUGCCUAACACAUGCAAGUCGAACGAGAAAGGGGUAGCAAUACCCUGAGUAAAGUGGCGCACGGGUGAGUAACACGUGACUAACCUACCCUUGAGGUGGGGAUAACUGAGGGAAACCUUAGCUAAUACCGCAUAAUACCCACGGGUCAAAGGAGCAAUUCGCUCGAGGAGGGGUCGCGGCCGAUUAGUUAGUUGGCGGGGUAAUGGCCCACCAAGACGAUGAUCGGUAU